CCUGGGAACUGCGUUNUGAACUGGGUGACUAGAGUGUGUCAGAGGGAGGUAGAAUUCCACGUGUAGCAGUGAAAAGCGUAGAGAUGUGGAGGAAUACCGAUGGCGAAGGCAGCCUCCUGGGAUAACACUGACGUUCAUGCCCGAAAGCGUGGGUAGCAAACAGGAUUAGAUACCCUAGUAGUCCACGCCCUAAACGAUGUCGAUUAGCUGUUGGGCAGCAUGACUGCUUAGUAGCGAAGCUAACGCGUGAAAUCGACCGCCUGGGGAGUACGGUCGCAAGAUUAAAACUCAAAGGAAUUGACGGGGACCCGCACAAGCGGUGGAUGAUGUGGAUUAAUUCGAUGCAACGCGAAGAACCUUACCUGGUCUUGACAUGUACGGAACCCUCCAGAGACGGAGGAGUGCCUUCGGGAGCCGUAACACAGGUGCUGCAUGGCUGUCGUCAGCUCGUGUCGUGAGAUGUUGGGUUAAGUCCCGCAACGAGCGCAACCCUUGUCAUUAGUUGCCAUCAUUAAGUUGGGCACUCUAAUGAGACUGCCGGUGACAAGCCGGAGGAAGGUGGGGAUGACGUCAAGUCCUCAUGGCCCUUAUGACCAGGGCUUCACACGUCAUACAAUGGUCGGUACAGAGGGUAGCCAAGCCGCGAGGUGGAGCCAAUCUCACAAAACCGAUCGUAGUCCGGAUUGCACUCUGCAACUCGAGUGCAUGAAGUCGGAAUCGCUAGUAAUCGCAGGUCAGCAUACUGCGGUGAAUACGUUCCCGGGUCUUGUACACACCGCCCGUCACACCAUGGGAGUGGGGGAUACCAGAAGUAGGUAGGGUAACCGCAAGGAGCCCG
rnacentral:rRNA from 1 species